rnacentral:tRNA from 1 species
AAUUAAUGAGCUUGAUUAUAAGCUUAUGUUUUGAAAACAUAUCAUAGAAAAAAUAAUUUCUAUUAAUUU